rnacentral:snRNA from 1 species
CGAUCAGAACCUGUCGAGAACA